GGUUGUGGAUCAGUGGUAGAGUGCUUCCCUAGCAUGUGUGAGGCUCUGGGUUCGAUCCCUGGCACCA
rnacentral:tRNA from 1 species